GACGAACGCUGGCGGCGUGCCUAAUACAUGCAAGUCGAACGAACGGAGGAAGAGCUUGCUCUUCCAAUGUUAGUGGCGGACGGGUGAGUAACACGUGGGCAACCUGCCUGUAAGUUGGGGAUAACUCCGGGAAACCGGGGCUAAUACCGAAUGAUAAGAUGUGGCGCAUGCCACGCCUUUGAAAGAUGGUUUCGGCUAUCGCUUACAGAUGGGCCCGCGGUGCAUUAGCUAGUUGGUAGGGUAAUGGCCUACCAAGGCAACGAUGCAUAGCCGACCUGAGAGGGUGAUCGGCCACACUGGGACUGAGACACGGCCCAGACUCCUACGGGAGGCAGCAGUAGGGAAUCUUCCGCAAUGGACGAAAGUCUGACGGAGCAACGCCGCGUGUAUGAAGAAGGUUUUCGGAUCGUAAAGUACUGUUGUUAGAGAAGAACAAGGAUAAGAGUAACUGCUUGUCCCUUGACGGUAUCUAACCAGAAAGCCACGGCU
rnacentral:rRNA from 1 species